rnacentral:rRNA from 1 species
UACGUAGGGUGCGAGCGUUGUCCGGAAUUAUUGGGCGUAAAGAGCUCGUAGGCGGUGUGUCGCGUCGGCCGUGAAAACCUGCAGCUUAACUGUGGCUUGCGGUCGAUACGGGCAUCACUGGAGUUCGGCAGGGGAGACUGGAAUUCCUGGUGUAGCGGUGAAAUGCGCAGAUAUCAGGAGGAACACCGGUGGCGAAGGCGGGUCUCUGGGCCGAUACUGACGCUG